rnacentral:lncRNA from 1 species
UCUGAGGCGCCCCGGGCGGGCGUUCAGCGGGGCCACGGCCAUUGCGGCUGAGCCCCUGGCGAGGCGGCCGAGUACCUGCAGGCGCUGGCCCGCAUCGUCGCGGGGCAUCAGGGAGCUGGAGCCGCUAGCACGCCGACCUGCUGGAGCGCGCCGGCGACACCUGGCCAUGUGCGCCGGCUCGCAGCCACUCGGGGUCAUCCCGGAGCUUGGCGGCCGCCGUGACAAGUGUCAGUCUGGCCCCCAUCGAAGUACAACUUUGCCAUGGAUGUGCUUGGCCGGGUGAAAGGCCAAGCUGGACUGAGGGUCGUGAUCAAGGCUCUGGACCCCACAGCUGGGCAGCUGCAUGGCCUCGCCAAGGAGCUCUCUGGCCAGAUCCAGAUCCAGGCGUUUGACAAGCCGCUGCUCCUCGACCCUGGAAUAGAGGCAGAACCAAUCUUAAUGUCACCCAACUCAUUUCUGAGGCUCCAGAUGAACAGGGAUGGCGUGGCCUGUCUGAGCUCCUGUGUCCUGGAUGGGCCCGAGAAGUUUCCUGUCCUGCAGGUGGAUUAGAUGGGCUUCCUGGUGUCAGGGUCUGUGAUGGGGACAUCCCUGAAGUGACUGCAAAGAGCCUUUUGGGGCAACCGAACCGUCAUUGUUGCUGUAAGGUCAGUGGUGUUUUCCCCCUUUUUGGAUCAAUAAAAACAAUAACACUGGGGUAAUGCUUCCUCCUUCUCAUGUGUAAAUGUGAAUAUACUUACCUUCCAGAUGACAAAUUGUAGAUAGG